CUUCUUGAACUUCAUCACCAGUUUGAACACUUUCACUGGUUCAACAGCUGAUUGAAAAAUAAUGAUGGACAAAACUGAAUAAAGACAGUCGCAGCUUCAAUUCUUUAGACGUAGUUGGGUUUUGCACUGUAUCAUGAUGAACCCUUGAUAGCUAACCAGCUAUCUUUUUUUAGCACUUGUAAAAAGGAAGAAUCACCAUAAUAAGGCCAUGCCCUUAAAUGAUGAAUAUUGAUUAUUAUAAUUUUGCUAUAGCUGAGUCAAUCAGUAACUCCAUGUAUAUCUAUAAAAAUAUAUUUAGUGCAUAUUGUUAUGGCCAAUCUUCUGUAGCGCCCGUC
rnacentral:lncRNA from 1 species